AAUACAAAAAUGCAACACAUUUCAUUGAAUACAUAGGUGUUCCCAUUGACACACAGUGAUGGGGAAUGUACUACUGUGUAUGUUUAUCUUAUUGAUUAUUGAAUAAAAUACUGUUUGGCCAAUGAGACAGCAAGUUAGACAGAACUAGGAGUCAAAAAGGAUUCUUGGAAAUGUAGUAGAGAAGUGCUGAUCCAGGCAGGAAGUGACAUAGCAAGGAGACUCAUAUUUAAGCGAAAGAGAAACAAGAAAGGCCCUCUCUUUUCCCCUCGGCUCCUGCUCCAGCGGCACGAUGUGAUCCACCAGCUAGGAGGGACGCCAAUAAGGCGUCCGAUAAGAUAAGUCUUAUAAAAUAUAUAGAUGUAUGAUAAUUGAGACUGAGCUAACAGAUGAGAAUCCUAGUCAUUGGCCAAGCAGCAUUGUAACUAAUACAAGUCUCUCUGUGUAUUCAUUUGGGCCUAACUCGGGCAGGCGGCUGUCGUAAAGCUCACACAUGGCAGUGGGGCUCAGGCGGCUUUUGGCAGAAAGAUUUAUAGUAACAACACAGUGUUCCUUGAGCAGCAAGUUGCUCCUUAAUCUGCUUGAUCCUUCAUGUAAGACAUGCUGGGCAGUUUCAGUGCGUUCCACUUAGACACAGACUAAGAAAUGGAAAUUAUUGGUCUGUGAUAGACUCUACGAGUAAGGAAAUCCCAGUCUGUCACACACUGGUUCUCACUCCUUUUCAAUGUAACUAACUAUGGACACCUCCCUGCUACACCACCACCCCUAGGACUGGGUUAAGGACAAGUUUUCCCUCCCUCCACUGUUUGUUCACUCUCUGUCUUGCAAGUGCUUUUUGGUCACAAUGAGUCCCAGCAAGGCUUCAGAGCCUCUGGCAGGUCCUCUUCAGUGCUGCCAAACUGUCCACUGGGAUGGGUGUGUGAGGGGGAGCUGAUGGUCUCAGGGCCCUCAAUUAGACCGUGAAACUUCAUUUCACAUGAAAAGGAAAAAGAAAUCUAGUUGAUUCCUCAAGGCUCUGGAGCCAUCUAGACUCCAGUUUAUAAGAGAGCUCUGCAUAGAGGGCCCUGCUUUUCUGGGCCAUCAAUAGGCCUUCAGCUCUGGGAGUCCUGCUCACUGUCUCCCUUCAAGUCUUCUCUCCACUGUACAACAUCUGUUUUCCAGGCAGCGUGCACUGUGUCCAGAGACAGCCAAAGGUCAUCAGACUCCUAAGAUCAGGUCCGAGGAAAACUGAAGAGUCUCUGGCAUAUCCUCCAGUGCUGCCACACUGUCCACAGGGGUUACGUGUGUGUUGGGAGGCUGAUGGUCUCAGGACCCUGAACCACAGAGUGAAACUUCUUUUCACAUGAAAAGUAAAAAGCAAUCUAGCUGUCUCCUCAAGAAAGAUGGAAGAAGAGAAGCUGCCUGAGAGUUCAAUGUCACCCCAAAAGAAACCAAAGCUAGCUGAAAUCAAGAGAAAGAAACGUGUUAGAUCAGUCUUACCCCACCAAAGGGACAGGCAAAGAAAACCCUCUUCCUCUCAAAAUGCAGAUGAGGAGAUGUUCAAAUGUGAAUGUCACUGCUGCCAGAAGUAUGUGGGAAACACGUCUGGAAUGUCUGCGGGGACCAGGACAGAAGCAACCUCUCCUUCACCCUCCUUAUAAAAGCUGACAUUAGAUCCCAGUGUCUUAACACUCAACCCAAGUACCACCCAGACCCUCUUAUGCAAGAAAGAACACAGAAAAUAGAAAAUGACAAUGUGCAUUGCAAACUGAGAAGCGAAAGGAUAUUUUUUUUUAUUAGUUCAAAUUAGGAACAAGCUUGCUUCACAUGUUAAUCCCUUCUCCCUCUCUCUCCCCUUCCCUCAACCUCCCCCUACUCUAUUUCCCCUCCGCUCCCCAGGGAGGGUAGGGCCCUCCAUGGAGGCUCCCCAAAGUCCACCACAUCAUCCUGGGCCAGGCCUAGGCCCCCCCAAUGUGUCCAGGCCAAGAGAGAAUCCCUUCAUGUGGGAUGGGCUCUCAAAGACCCUUCUUACACCAGGGAAAAAUAUUGAUCUUCUACUACUAGAGGCCCCAUAGAGUGUAGAGGCCUCCUCAUUGACAUCCAUGUUCAGGGCUCUGGAUCAGUCUCGUUCUGGCCUCCCAGACAGCAGUCUGGGGUCCAUGUGCUCCCCCUUGUUCAAGUCAGCUGGCGAAAGGGUAUUUAAAAGGCUCUCCAGGAAUGGACAGAAUGACUGUGGACUUAUCAACCUCCUUUCAAUAAGAUCAGAGCCUACAGGAUCAUGAAUCUUUUUGGGAGCAUGGUUAGGAGGAGUACCAAUGUCCAGUCUGGUGAUAAUAACACCAUCACAUGGAGAGACUCCAACCUAUUCUAGAAAUGUUGCAUUCCUUUCCUUAGUAUUUUUGGCAUCCUUCCUGGGACAUUCUGGGCAGAGCAGCUCCCAGGCAAGGGCAAGCACAUAGCGAUGGUUCUAUCUUCCCCAUACUGUUGUUCCCAUGGGUACAGACUCUGGUGAGGUAUCCAACAUCCUUGUUGGCAUAUCAACAGUGGCAUCAAUACUACCAAUCCAGAACAUAUGCCAGACAACUGCUUAAACCAGAACAUUCCUGAAUAUAAUGCCAACACCCAGAGUUCUCCAAGCAGGAGUAUGCAGCGUGCCAAAUCAAGGUUCUUACUCCCAUAUUAACCAGACCUUGAAGGAGGAGGUGUCACCAACUUGUCAGUGACUAUUGAUCUGACAGCUACACAUGAGGACAAAGAGAGGCUUGACCGCUGUACAGCAUUAGGUCUGAUGUGUGAGGGCUGUCAGGUAGCCAUUCUUCAAUAUCUGGAAUUUUUCCAGCACCAGAAAGAGGAGCUGUCUGUUGUGCCAGACAGUGGGAAACAACAUGCAAGAACCACACCUACAUUAAGAAAUUCCUUCAGACAUUAUAUCACUGUAUUUCUUCAGCAUCUUUCAUUCCAGUGAUGCCCAUAAGCCUACGUUGGCCUUUAAGAUAGAGAUGGUUAUGGAAUAAGGGAAUUGGCUGAUUGGAGCAGAUCUUCAAUCCUCUACCGAAUUUAUUGGCAUGAUGGUCUUCAUCAGUAUAGUCUUAUUCCUACUGAGCUCAACCAGAGGUUUAAAUAUAUGAAUUCUGGUGAAUUGUAAUACUGAAUGGUAGCAGUGAAUGUCAUCUGUUGGAAUAGGAAGUCUCCAGUCCAUGGCUUUACCCAUUUCUAAUUCUGAGCUUCCGUGCUCAUUACUUAUGCUGUCUUUGCAUUUCAGUUGUGUAACCCAAUGCAAAACGGAAUGCUCUGCUAAUGCAGGACACCCACAAGCAGCUUUUAGAGAGGGGCUUCUGGAUGAAGCAGCAUGCUUCAGUGCUGGAAGAGGGUAUCUUGAACCAUAAAACAACAGUAGUGGCCGUCUUUUUGUCUCCUAUGAUGUAUGCUGGGCCAACUGAGGAAGGCUGCUUGUAGGAUGUCAGUGCAGUGCUAAAGUCACUGUUGUGAACACCAUAACCUCACCACCCUUCCUGUUGGCUUUUCCCUGAUGGCUAGCUUGCUGUACAGACUGCUGCCAUGCCGGCUGGCUAGGUCACUCUAGUCCCAGAGCAGAGGACAGACGCUGUGUGACUUUGGCUUUUUCUGAUUUUUUCAAGAGAUAAAGGGGCGUGCGUGUGCCAGACAGCUGUUUUCACUGUAACAAAUACUUGAGGUUUCUGCCUCGAGUUCUUUCCUGACAUCCCUGGAUGUGGGACUUUGUGUUAUAGAAGCUGCACAGCCUUACCUUCCCAAGAUGCAUGGUGUUUACCACAGCAAUAGAAACCAUAAUUAGGGCAAGCUGGAAUAGGUACAUAAACAGCAACCUUAUUCAAUAUCAAGCUUGGAAAAUGGGCCUUCUUGUUUGGAAACUGCCUUGUUCUCUUUGUGGUUCUUGUGCUCUGUAUGAAAGUGGGGUUGAUGUGAAAUUUUAUUCAGUAAGUUAACAAAAAAUGUUUUAAAAAAUGUGAUUGGGAGGAUUUCUAAUGAAAUAGCC
ensembl:lncRNA